rnacentral:rRNA from 1 species
UACGUAGGUGGCAAGCGUUGUCCGGAAUUAUUGGGCGUAAAGCGCGCGCAGGCGGUCCUUUAAGUCUGAUGUGAAAGCCCACGGCUCAACCGUGGAGGGUCAUUGGAAACUGGGGGACUUGAGUACAGAAGAGAAGAGUGGAAUUCCACGUGUAGCGGUGAAAUGCGUAGAUAUCAGGAAGAACACCCGUGGCUAAGGCGGUUCUCUAGUACGGUACUGACGCUGAGACGCGAAAGCGUGGGGAGCGAACAGG